UACGGGGGGGGCAAGCGUUGUUCGGAAUUACUGGGCGUAAAGGGCUCGUAGGUGGCCAACUAAGUCAGACGUGAAAUCCCUCGGCUUGACCGGGGAACUGCGUCUGAUACUGGAUGGCUUGAGUUUGGGAGAGGGACGCGGAAUUCCAGGUGUAGCGGUGAAAUGCGUAGAUAUCUGGAGGAACACCGGUGGCGAAGGCGGUUCUCUGGGCCUGACCUGACGCUGAGGAGCGAAAGCGUGGGGAGCGAACAGG
rnacentral:rRNA from 1 species